ACCUAUGGGGAGGAGUUCGGAUUGGGGGAAAUUGCCUUUAAUAAAUACGAAUAACAAAAGUAUACACUAUAUUAAAUUUAUAUUUUUAAUAUAAUUUUAAUAGGUAAUUAAAUUUUUAAUUUUAAACAUAAACUAAUUAUUUUUAAUUAAGUGUAGUUAUUCUUAUUUGUUACUAAUGUAACUUUAUAUAGUGAUUUAACUAUUUUGUUGAGAUUUAUUAAUAUCGAUUAACCCUUCUGAGUAACAUCUCA
rnacentral:rRNA from 1 species